AGAAAGUUGAACAACAAAUUGGAAGUACAACUUAAGCAAUGUGAACAUCAAAUAACAGAAAUGCAAUGUCAAGUGAAGCAAGCAUAACUUCAAACAAAUGAUGGUUUAGUUCUGCCAAAUGCAAUUCAGAAGAUGAGGAGACAAAAAACAAGAUAAAAUUAUUAGUCGUUUGAAAUGAACUCCCCUUUGCAACUGUCAAGUGACUCCCCUUAAGUCAACAAUUGAGUCCAUUUGAUGA
rnacentral:misc_RNA from 1 species